AAAAUUUUAAGUUAAAUAAACUUGUAACCUUCAAAGUUAUUAAUAAAAGUAAAUAAUCUUUUAAAUUUUA
rnacentral:tRNA from 1 species